rnacentral:rRNA from 1 species
GCCUGCCAGUGACCAUGUGUUCAACGGCCGCGGUAUUCUGACCGCGCGAAGGUAGCGUAAUCACUUGUUUUUUAAAUAAAGACUAGUAUGAACGGCCGCACGAGGACCUAACUGUCUCCUUUGUCCAAUCAGUGAAACUGAUCUCCUCGUGCAGAAGCGAGGAUUUUACCAUAAGACGAGAAGACCCUAUGGAGCUUUAAACUUUUAUUAAUUAUUUUUCUCAUCCCUCUAAGGAACUAACGACCAACUCUAUUUAUUUAAUAAAAGUUUUGGGUUGGGGCGGCCAUGGAGAAAAAAAAAUCCUCCCUGAUGAUAACCUAACCAAGAGCCACAGCUCUAAGUAUUAAGACACUUAACUCCUAUUGACCCAUUUUAUGAUCAACGAACCAAGUUACCCUAGGGAUAACAGCGCAAUCCAUUUCAAGAGUCCCUAUCGACAAAUGGGUUUACGACCUCGAUGUUGGAUCAGGGCAUCCAAGUGGUGCAACCGCUACUAAAGGUUCGUUUGUUCAACGAUUAAAGCCCU